ACACUACACAUAUUAAUUAGAAGUAUUUACCAUUAAUAUCAAUUUUACACUGGCUUUUUGCAACACUUUAGUGCUAAAAGUUAUUUAAUUGAAGUUAACAAAGCAUGAAAUUAUACUUAUAAAGGAAUAAAAAUUUAUUUAUUACAGAGGAGACAAGAAUGGCUCAAUUACUCAUAUUUGUUUACUCUUUGUUCAUCUUUCUUUCUCUAUUUCUAGUUGAAACUAGUAAAAAAAUCGCCCCUCCCUGCAAAUUUGUAAAAGAUUGUCCACGAGUUGAAGAACUUAUAGCAAAGUGUGUUGAUGGUUUUUGUUUGUAUUGGAUUCUAUGUUAAAUGUGUUGAUUUGUACGGUCAUAAUAUUUGUACUUAUAUAGUUGACAUCAAAGGUUAUUUUAUGUUCCGCUUUCA